CCCCUCCCUUAUUUUUUCUCCUUUGCUUAUUUGUUUUGUUUCUUCAAUUGCAUGAGUGAAAGAAAGCAUUAAUGGUUUUGUCUUUCUCCAACUUCUUUCCCUUAGCAUUACACUCUCUAGCUCUGAUGAGCACACAUCUGAA